rnacentral:rRNA from 1 species
CGAUUCUGGCUCAGGAUGAACGCUGGCGGCGUGCCUAACACAUGCAAGUCGAACGAAGCACUUCUGGUUGGAGAUCGUCGAAGACCGGAUUGACUUAGUGGCGGACGGGUGAGUAAUGUAUGAGCAACCUGCCUUUCAGAGGGGGACAACAGUUGGAAACGACUGCUAAUACCGCAUAAUGUAUUGAGGAGGCAUCUCCAUGAUACCAAAGGAGCAAUCCGCUGAAAGAUGGGCUCAUAUCUGAUUAGUUAGUUGGCAGGGUAACGGCCUACCAAGACUGCGAUCAGUAGCCGGACUGAGAGGUUGAACGGCCACAUUGGGACUGAGAUACGGCCCAGACUCCUACGGGAGGCAGCAGUGGGGAAUAUUGGGCAAUGGGCGAAAGCCCUGACCCAGCAACGCCGCGUGAAGGAAGAAGGUCUUCGGAUUGUAAACUUCUUUUAUGAGGGACGAAGGACGUGACGGUACCUCAUGAAUAAGCCACGGCUAACUACGUGCCAGCCGCCGC